GGAGAUGUGGUUCAAGUGGUAAAACACUAGCCUAGAAAGCUAGAGGCCCUGAGUUCAAACCCCAGGCCUCUCCA